ensembl:snRNA U1 U1 spliceosomal RNA
CUACACAUUGGAGAUUUUUCUUUGCAAAUCUUUCUCCUCCCUUUAAAAAUGAAGCCAAACUUAUCCAUUGCACUCCGGAUGUGCUGACCCCUGCAAUUUCCCCAAAUGUGGGAAACUCGACUGCAUAAUUUGUGGUAGUGGGGGACUGCGUUCGUGCUUUUCCCAU